rnacentral:rRNA from 2 species
GGCGGACGGGUGAGUAAUGUCUGGGAAACUGCCUGAUGGAGGGGGAUAACUACUGGAAACGGUAGCUAAUACCGCAUAACGUCGCAAGACCAAAGAGGGGGACCUUCGGGCCUCUUGCCAUCGGAUGUGCCCAGAUGGGAUUAGCUAGUAGGUGGGGUAACGGCUCACCUAGGCGACGAUCCCUAGCUGGUCUGAGAGGAUGACCAGCCACACUGGAACUGAGACACGGUCCAGACUCCUACGGGAGGCAGCAGUGGGGAAUAUUGCACAAUGGGCGCAAGCCUGAUGCAGCCAUGCCGCGUGUAUGAAGAAGGCCUUCGGGUUGUAAAGUACUUUCAGCGGGGAGGAA